rnacentral:tRNA from 20 species
CGAAAUCGGUAGACGCUACGGACUUAAAAUCCGUCGACUUUAGAAAUCGUGAGGGUUCAAGUCCCUCUAUCCCC